UCUCACUAGGUGUAACAGUUCUUCUUUUUCAUGCUACUCUAUCAGCCUAGUUUUUCGGAAAUUUUUAGGAUGACAUGAAAGACGGACAGGCUAGUUAGUUUUCCUCAAUCUAAAAGGUCAAUGUUUUCCAACUACAAAUAUAGAAGCAACACUCACCUCUCUUUCGAUAUCUCGGGCAAUUGUAAUUAACUCCAAUGAUUUCCUCUCGGGCUUUCUCUCUCAUGCGCAAGCCAUUCUUUCCCACCACAUGUCGCUCGUUCGGGACUUUCUAUGGUCAUAAGAACCGUAACAUUAUUCGCAGCUUCAAGGUUGCCAGACCAUGGCGCAGCAAUUAUAUGCUACAAAGCAUGGAGAUUCCGAAGGGCGGUCAUCGCCUCUCGUUAUUCAUCUUUUUUUUAUAUAUAUAGUA